CCUCUCAGUUGAUCUUCCCUUUCUGCAAUAUUGUAAGUAUCUCUAGUUUUUAUUCUAUUAUUAUUAUUACUAACUUACUUUCAUAAUAUUAUCAUCCAUAAAAUUUUUCUAAUGCUAAUUAUUCGCCAUAUACAAUGUAUAGUAUAAGGCUUGGUGGUUGGUACUUGUUAGGUCAUCGACUAUAAAGCAUGGAACCGGCUGUCCCUAAAGCAAGUGGCAAAAGGCUUGGUGGUUGGUACUUGAGAUUCCAAGUUCGAAUCCUAGUUGAUUCACAUUUUCUAGCUAAGUUUAUUUCUAAAUAAAAUAAACGAAGCGGAUAGCGUGCUACCUAUCUCUUAAAAAAAAAAAAAACACUAUAAAGCAUGGAAAUAACUAUAUGUAAACUUCUCAAGAGAACAAAAAAGUGCAUCACUGUACAACACAAUUUUUUUUUUGGUCUUUUUCAAGAGAAAGAUAGCAUCUUAUCCGCUUCAUUCAUUCAAUAAAACAUUUAGCUAUCAAAAUUGAAGCAUCGGGACGGUGAAAACGUUAAGAGGUGGCAGAUAAAGGAAAAAAAAAACUUCAAAUACCACUUUUGUGAUUUCACACUUUUUUAUUUUAGUAUCCUGUGGUUUAAAGUGUAUCAACUUAGUACCCCAUGGUUUCAUUUUCUCUUUUAAUUAUGCCUUCUACUAAUUAUUUUUCGUUAAAUCAGUGACAAAGUUAAAACUAAAAGGUACCAAGGUGAAUAUUCGAUAAAUCUAUGUGAGGUAUUUGACGUUUUUUUUUUAUAUAAUUUAACGAAAUGUUAACGGAAGAGUUGACAAAAAAAGAAAAAUGAAACCACAGGCUACUAAAUUGAUACACCUAAAAUCACAGAAUACUAAAGUGAGAAAGUGCAAAAUCACAUAGAUAGUGUUUGAAGUUUACUCAAAAAAAGAA
rnacentral:lncRNA from 1 species